UGAAAGCUUGCUUUUAUAAUUCGAGUGGCAAACGGGUGAGUAACGCGUAAGCACCUGCCCUUCAGAUGGGGACAACCGCUGGAAACGGCUGCUAAUACCGAAUACGACCGCAUGACGAAAGGAGGCCUUCGGGCUUUCGCUGGAGGAGGGGCUUGCGUCUGAUUAGCUGGUUGGAGGGGUAACGGACUACCAAGGCGAUGAUCAGUAGCCGGUCUGAGAGGAUGAACGGCCACAUUGGGACUGAGACACGGCCCAAACUCCUACGGGAGGCAGCAGUGGGGAAUCUUCCGCAAUGGACGAAAGUCUGACGGAGCAACGCCGCGUGAGUGAUGAAGGAUUUCGGUCUGUAAAGCUCUGUUGUUUAUGACGAAGUGCGUUGUGAACAAUGCAUUGCAAUGACGGUAGUAAACGAGGAAGCCACGGCUAACUACGUGCCAGCAGCCGCGGUAAUACGUAGGUGGCGAGCGUUGUCCGGAAUAUUGGGCGUAAGAGCAUGUAGGCGGCUUAAUAAGUCGAGCGUGAAAAUGCGGGGCUCAACCCCGUAUGGCGCUGGAAACUGUUAGGCUUGAGUGCAGGAGAGGAAAGGGGAAUUCCCAGUGUAGCGGUGAAAUGCGUAGAUAUUGGGAGG
rnacentral:rRNA from 1 species